AAUGGCUCUCUUCAGGGCACAGCUCUGUGUAUUUGAACCACUCUUUUACACGGAGCUCAACUGUUCCUCUUUGCGUUUUCAGUCAGACUUUCCUGAAAAGUGUGGGUGAAUGAAAAAAAUCUGUGUGGAAAGCCAUCGUAAUGCUUGAAUCACAUGAGCCAUCCCACCACAUUUCUGUAUCCCAGUGAGAUCACUUCUCUGCAGAUAUACAAGAACUUCUAAUUCUGCUUGAUCACGUUCUGCACUGCAUCCAUCUGUGCGCAGGCAUUUGAUACAAGCUACCACUCACUCUGCAUUUAAUGGUGAAGUGCAAGAACCUCUGCCACUGUGUUUUCAUGUGGAUACAUCCUCACUUUCCCCCAGCCUUCAUGUUCUCUUCAGGUUACAUUAACCCUAGUUAUGUAUGUAACUAUGGACCAGAAGGGGAAAAUGUUUUUUAGAUGAAAGCAAUAAAGAGAAAAUUAAAAUAGCACAUUCUUUCUCCCAUGCGGUAAAGCAAGCAUAUCAACCUUGAUGCAGUGACACUUACAUAAGCAGACAUAUGCCUGCAAAGAGAUUAAUUCUAUUGUACAGAAUAUUUAAAGAUACUUAAAACAUUGGAAAUCCACAGUAGGAAAUGGAAUUUCUGUUUCAGAGAUGAAACUGUAAACUGUGCUAUCACUGUUCUUCUUGCCACACACAAAGUUGCAUUUAUCCUUGGAACAUUCCAAAGUUGUGAAUGAGAUGAUAGAUGAUGAGCAAUUUAUCCCUUUCAAAGCACUAAAUUCUGAAAACAUAUACAGUUCAGGAUUAAACUCCUAGAUUGUGAAAAGUACUUGAAACAACUCUUGAUUUUGUCAAGACACUACAAAUGCUAUUUCAGUUCAGUUUGUGAUUUGUCUUCUGGCACGUUAUUAUCUGGCAGUCUUUGAAAGCUAUUAUUGCAUUUAUAUUUGCCCAGGAGAACUAGAGUUACUUUACUCUUAGAGUAGAAUCCAGGAAAGGGUAUGCACAUAGUUUAAGCACCCAAGCACUCAAAUCACACAUCGUAUAUCAAAGCAGACUCCAAAUGAUCAGGCAGGUUUUUUGUUUGAUUGUUUUUUUGCUUCUGAAAACAUGAUUUGUUUUCAUUCUGUUAACACUUGUAGGUACCCUGUUGAGUCGUCUGUGUAUUUGAUGUUACUCCAUGUAACCUUCUUUCUUAUUUACAUCAACAGAAAAAAGGCUUCUUUGUUUGACAGACCUUAGUUUGAAAUGCUAGACCAGUUCUCACUUAUCUUCCUCCAUCCAGAUCAACGAAUCAGACAGAGGACUCAUCUAUCACAAUUCUGAAGCCAGAUUCCUGUUUGGUAUGAAACCAUUAAGUUGCAGAAAAAAACAUGACCUAAGGACCUCAACUUUCCCUUCCAUAAAGUCAGAAAAGCCUUCUCCAAGCACCUGUCCCAGUUGCUCUCAUAGGAAUAGCAGAGCAUGGAAAAGAUAGGCUCUGACAGAUUUUUGGCUGCCAUUAUAUUUGGCAGAAGCUAGAAUGAAUCACUCAAUCUCUGAUCAAGAGAAAUUAGGUUAGUUUAGGAAAAUGAGAGCAGAAAACAGAAAAGCAUAUCUAUCUUCAGCUGAACAAAGUACAAAUUCAGAUGAUCCUUUCCCUUUUUUCUCAGCAUUGGAAAAAAAUUAUCUUUUUAAAAAAUUUCAUUUCUAAAUUUUUCCAGUAUAAAGAGGAAUUAUCUUCCACGGCACACGGCAAUGAGCACCAUGGGAGAAAAUGCAUUGUGAACAGGGAUAAGUGCUCUAAUGAAUCUCCGUUUUCUGUUUCAUCUCUUCAAACCUCUCAAUGCUUUCACCUCCUCCGCCAGAUACUGUUUUCUGCAUCAAGAGAGAGAAUCACAACCACCGUGGGGGAAAAACAGCAGUUAAGGCUCUUCAAUGAACAAAACUGCAGGCUUAGUCCCAAAUGCGGGACACAAUUGGAAAUAUAUGUUUGGAAUGGAAUAUAGUUUAGCCAUUUUUUAGUCCUUGGAAAAAACAACCCUGAGCUAUUUCUUAACGCCACCAAUGUUUCCACUGUUUUGUUUUAGCACUAUUUAAGUACUUUAAUAAACUUAUGGUGUCUUUCCAAAACAAUCUA